rnacentral:rRNA from 1 species
GUUGAACGCUGGCGGCGUGCCUAAUACAUGCAAGUCGAGCGAGCGGACGAGAAGCUUGCUUCUCUGGUGUUAGCGGCGGACGGGUGAGUAACACGUGGAUAACCUACCUAUAAGACUGGGCUAACUUCGGGAAACCGUAGCUAAUACCGGAUAAUAUUUUGAACCGCAUGGUUCAAAAGUGAUAGACGGUCUUGACGUCACUAAUAGAUGGAUCCGCGCUGCAUUAGCUAGUUGGUAAGGUAACGGCUUACCAAGGCAACGAUGCAUAGCCGACCUGAGAGGGUGAGCGGCCACACUGGAACUGAGACACGGUCCAGACUCCUACGGGAGGCAGCAGUAGGGAAUCUUCCGCAAUGGGCGAAAGCCUGACGGAGCAACGCCGCGUGAGUGAUGAAGGGCUUCGGAUCGUAAAACUCUGUUAUUAGGGAAGAACAUAUGUGGAAGUAACUGUGCACAUCUUGACGGUACCUAAUCAGAAAGCCACGGCUAACUACGUG